GGACGAACGCUGGCGGCGUGCUCAUACAUGCAAGUCGAACGAUAAGGCACCUUCGGGUGUACAUAAGUGGCGGACGGGUGAGUAAUAUGUAGAGAAUCUGCCCCUAGAGCGGGGGACAACAGUUGGAAACGACUGGCUAAUACCCCAUAUGAGCGUAGUUGAAAUACUAUUCUUGAAAACUCCGGUGCUCUGGGAUGAGUCUGCAUCUGAUUAGCUAGUUGGGGGUGUAAUGGACCACCAAGGCGACGAUCACGUAGCUGGUUUGAGAGGAUGAUCAGCCACAAUGGGACUGAGACACGGCCCAUACUCCUACGGGAGGCAGCAGUAGGGAAUUUUGCGCAAUGGGGGCAACCCUUGACGCAGCAACGCCGCGUGACCGAUGAAGCCCUUCGGGGUGUAAAGGUCUGUCAGUGGGGACGAAACUUGACGGUACCCACAGAGGAAGCAUCGGCUAACUCCGUGCCAGCCGCCGC
rnacentral:rRNA from 1 species